GAUGAACGCUGGCGGCGUGCUUAACACAUGCAAGUCGAACGGAAAGGCUCCUGCUUGCAGGGGUACUCGAGUGGCGAACGGGUGAGUAACACGUGGGUGAUCUGCCCUGCACUUCGGGAUAAGCCUGGGAAACUGGGUCUAAUACCGGAUAGGACGAUGGUUUGGAUGCCAUUGUGGAAAGUUUUUUCGGUGUGGGAUGAGCUCGCGGCCUAUCAGCUUGUUGGUGGGGUAAUGGCCUACCAAGGCGUCGACGGGUAGCCGGCCUGAGAGGGUGUACGGCCACAUUGGGACUGAGAUACGGCCCAGACUCCUACGGGAGGCAGCAGUGGGGAAUAUUGCACAAUGGGCGCAAGCCUGAUGCAGCGACGCCGCGUGGGGGAUGACGGCCUUCGGGUGGUAAACUCCUUUCGCUAGGGACGAAGCGCAAGUGACGGUACCUGGAGAAGAAGCACCGGCUAACUACGU
rnacentral:rRNA from 1 species